rnacentral:rRNA from 1 species
GGGGGGCUUGCCGUCCAGCAAACUGGUAACACCCACAGGCGAAGACAAAUCGAGUUGCGGGAUUACGGGUUCGGCCGAUGGCGCAAGCCUUCGUCGGGCCCCUCCAUCCCAGGGUGUCCCGGUACGGGUGCUUGCACCCAGCGGACAUCCCCGGAGUGCGUAUGAUGUGACCCGAAAGAUGGUGAACUAUGCCUGAUCAGGUCGAAGUCAGGGGAAACCCUGAUGGAGGACCGAAGCAAUUCUGACGUGCAAAUCGAUUGUCAGAGUUGGGCAUAGGGGCGAAAG